CCUUCGAUAGCUCAGUCUGGUAGAGCGCGGGACUGUAAUAUGUUACAUGUAAAUCCUGAGGCCACUAGUUCGAUCCUGGUUCGAAGGA